rnacentral:rRNA from 1 species
CAGUCGCCGCGGUAAUACAGAGGGUGCGAGCGUUAAUCGGAUUUACUGGGCGUAAAGCGUGCGCAGGCGGUUUGUUAAGACAGAUGUGAAAUCCCCGGGCUCAACCUGGGAACUGCAUUUGUGACUGGCAAGCUAGAGUGUGGCAGAGGGGGGUGGAAUUCCGCGUGUAGCAGUGAAAUGCGUAGAUAUGCGGAGGAACACCGAUGGCGAAGGCAGCCCCCUGGGCCAACACUGACGCUCAUGCACGAAAGCGUGGGGAGCAAACAGGAUUAGAUACCCCUGUAGUCCCUGUCUCUUAUAA